rnacentral:rRNA from 1 species
UGCAAGUCGAACGCGUUGGCCCAAUUGAUUGAUGGUGCUUGCACCUGAUUGAUUUUGGUCGCCAACGAGUGGCGGACGGGUGAGUAACACGUAGGUAACCUGCCCAGAAGCGGGGGACAACAUUUGGAAACAGAUGCUAAUACCGCAUAACAGCGUUGUUCGCAUGAACAACGCUUAAAAGAUGGCUUCUCGCUAUCACUUCUGGAUGGACCUGCGGUGCAUUAGCUUGUUGGUGGGGUAACGGCCUACCAAGGCGAUGAUGCAUAGCCGAGUUGAGAGACUGAUCGGCCACAAUGGGACUGAGACACGGCCCAUACUCCUACGGGAGGCAGCAGUAGGGAAUCUUCCACAAUGGGCGCAAGCCUGAUGGAGCAACACCGCGUGAGUGAAGAAGGGUUUCGGCUCGUAAAGCUCUGUUGUUAAAGAAGAACACGUAUGAGAGUAACUGUUCAUACGUUGACGGUAUUUAACCAGAAAGUCACGGCUAACUACGUGCCAGCAGCCGCGGUAAUACGUAGGUGGCAAGCGUUAUCCGGAUUUAUUGGGCGUAAAGAGAGUGCAGGCGGUUUUCUAAGUCUGAUGUGAAAGCCUUCGGCUUAACCGGAGAAGUGCAUCGGAAACUGGAUAACUUGAGUGCAGAAGAGGGUAGUGGAACUCCAUGUGUAGCGGUGGAAUGCGUAGAUAUAUGGAAGAACACCAGUGGCGAAGGCGGCUACCUGGUCUGCAACUGACGCUGAGACUCGAAAGCAUGGGUAGCGAACAGGAUUAGAUACCCUGGUAGUCCAUGCCGUAAACGAUGAGUGCUAGGUGUUGGAGGGUUUCCGCCCUUCAGUGCCGGAGCUAACGCAUUAAGCACUCCGCCUGGGGAGUACGACCGCAAGGUUGAAACUCAAAGGAAUUGACGGGGGCCCGCACAAGCGGUGGAGCAUGUGGUUUAAUUCGAAGCUACGCGAAGAACCUUACCAGGUCUUGACAUCUUGCGCCAACCCUAGAGAUAGGGCGUUUCCUUCGGGAACGCAAUGACAGGUGGUGCAUGGUCGUCGUCAGCUCGUGUCGUGAGAUGUUGGGUUAAGUCCCGCAACGAGCGCAACCCUUGUUACUAGUUGCCAGCAUUAAGUUGGGCACUCUAGUGAGACUGCCGGUGACAAACCGGAGGAAGGUGGGGACGACGUCAGAUCAUCAUGCCCCUUAUGACCUGGGCUACACACGUGCUACAAUGGACGGUACAACGAGUCGCGAACUCGCGAGGGCAAGCAAAUCUCUUAAAACCGUUCUCAGUUCGGACUGCAGGCUGCAACUCGCCUGCACGAAGUCGGAAUCGCUAGUAAUCGCGGAUCAGCAUGCCGCGGUGAAUACGUUCCCGGGCCUUGUACACACCGCCCGUCACACCAUGAGAGUUUGUAACACCCAAAGUCGGCUGGGGUAACCUUUUAGGAGCCAGCCGCCUAAGG